rnacentral:rRNA from 1 species
CAAGGUGAGAGAUACGGAGGUAGAGCACUGAAUGUCCUAGGGGGUAUUGCACCUACCGGAGCCUAUCAAACUCCGAAUGCUGUCAUCUUAUACUCGGGGGUGAGACGGUGGGAGAUAAGAUUCAUAGUCGAAAGGGCAACAGCCCAGAUCGUCAGCUAAGGUCCCUAAAGGUAAGUUAAGUGGUAAAGGAUGUGGGAUUGCACAGACAACCAGGAUGUUGGCUUAGAAGCAGCCACUCAUUCAAAGAGUGCGUAAUAGCUCACUGGUCGAGUGAUCCUGCGCCGAAGAUUUCCGGGGCUAAAACUUACUACCGAAGC